rnacentral:rRNA from 1 species
AUUGAACGCUGGCGGCAGGCUUAACACAUGCAAGUCGAGCGAGCGGCGGACGGGUGAGUAAUGUCUGGGAACCUGCCUGGUGGCGGGGGAUAACUACUGGAAACGGUAGCUAAUACCGCAUACCAUUAGAUCUGCCCAGAUGGGAUUAGCUAGUUGGUGGGGUAAUGGCUCACCUAGGCGACGAUCCCUAGCUGGUUUGAGAGGAUGACCAGCCACACUGGAACUGAGACACGGUCCAGACUCCUACGGGAGGCAGCAGUGGGGAAUAUUGCACAAUGGGGGAAACCCUGAUGCAGCCAUGCCGCGUGUAUGAAGAAGGCCUUCGGGUUGUAAAGCACUUUCAGCGAGGAGGCGGUACUCGCAGAAUAAGCACCGGCUAACUCCGUGCCAGCAGCCGCGGUAAUAC